rnacentral:rRNA from 1 species
UCUACGCGGAGGGACAUUACCGAGUUUACAACUCCCAAACCCAAUGUGAACGUUACCAAACUGUUGCCUCGGCGGGGUCACGCCCCGGGUGCGUAAAAGCCCCGGAACCAGGCGCCCGCCGGAGGAACCAACCAAACUCUUUCUGUAGUCCCCUCGCGGACGUAUUUCUUACAGCUCUGAGCAAAAAUUCAAAAUGAAUCAAAACUUUCAACAACGGAUCUCUUGGUUCUGGCAUCGAUGAAGAACGCAGCGAAAUGCGAUAAGUAAUGUGAAUUGCAGAAUUCAGUGAAUCAUCGAAUCUUUGAACGCACAUUGCGCCCGCCAGUAUUCUGGCGGGCAUGCCUGUCCGAGCGUCAUUUCAACCCUCGAACCCCUCCGGGGGAUCGGCGUUGGGGAUCGGGACCCCUCACCGGGUGCCGGCCCUGAAAUACAGUGGCGGUCUCGCCGCAGCCUCUCCUGCGCAGUAGUUUGCACAACUCGCACCGGGAGCGCGGCGCGUCCACGUCCGUAAAACACCCAACUUCUGAAAUGUUGACCUCGGAUCAGGUAGGAAUACCCGCUGAACUUAAGCAUAUCA